rnacentral:rRNA from 1 species
CGGACGGGUGAGUAAUGUCUGGGAAACUGCCUGAUGGAGGGGGAUAACUACUGGAAACGGUAGCUAAUACCGCAUAACGUCGCAAGACCAAAGAGGGGGACCUUCGGGCCUCUUGCCAUCGGAUGUGCCCAGAUGGGAUUAGCUAGUAGGUGGGGUAAAGGCUCACCUAGGCGACGAUCCCUAGCUGGUCUGAGAGGAUGACCAGCCACACUGGAACUGAGACACGGCCAG